GGGGGUGUGGCGGAAUGGUAGACGCUGCGGACUUAAAAUCCGCUGAGCCUGAUAAGCUCGUGGGGGUUCGAGCCCCCCCACCCCCA
rnacentral:tRNA from 2 species